rnacentral:lncRNA from 1 species
AAUGCAAUUAUAUAAUAAUAAACAAAAGAAUUUGGGCCGAAUCACUUUUUACCCGACCUAAAAUCCCUCUUUUGCCCAAUCCAAUUUCAACAUGACUCAACUAUUUAAGGAGCCCAUAGUUCCACCUUACACAAACGAGCCGGACUCCCAAACUUUUGUUGGAUCGAAUCAAGAACCACCUCACGGCAGACCGGACCAGACACAAAUAGGAGCCAACACCAAAGAUAACAUCCCUUUGAGGAGAACAUACACCGAAAUAUAAGUACAUAAAGCAGUUCACCCGUUGAUGCGACUUUGAAAAUGCUCCAUAUUUCAUUUCCAUUGUGCCAAACUGAAUCACAUCACUAUCUAGUGCUUGCCACAAAAGAUGAAAGCGCCCUUCCGGCUGAGGAAGGGGCAGAAUCUUGGGCACAUCAGCAAAACAGAGCUCCACCUACCCUCACGCGAGUUCUCAUAAUACAUCUUUACUCCUAACCCCCUGUACAAAAUCUUGACGCUAAGAUAUCAUUUCCACUUUCCCGAUCAAAAAGGAGAAGUUGCAAGGGUUGUCUCUCGUUGUAGCUAUUCUGUUGCAUUGAGUUGCAGAUCCUCCGACGUUGUUGCCAGUUGGCAUUCAAAGGAAAACGUAACAUUAUAGAUGUGUUACCGAUACCACACAAGUGGAGUAGAGACACUCUGGGGUGGCUGAGGCGUCAUGCAGUGCGGUUGCUGCCACUGCUGAAAUCCUUCACUUGAGCUCUGUCCGGCAUAACCAUGCGCUUGUUCUUGAGUUACCGGAUAACUUUCAGUUGCAUCUUCAAUCUCCAUUGUCCCGUCAGCCAUUUCCUCAGCCUCCAUUGCCUCACUACCCUCAGGCUGGAGGAGUUCAAUGCCUGGUGCAGAAGGAAACUGAGAAGGAAUCCAAGGGACCACGGCCAUACAGUUGGUACCUCCCUUGUUUGUCUCUGCAUCACCUGUCUCAUCUUCAAUCAAUUUCUCAUGGGCAGGCUCAUUUGACCAGUAGAAUUGAUCUGGAGCACAUGGAAAAUAAUGUCGAUGAAUUUGUCAUGACACUACCAAAGAAACACAUAUCAUACUGAAGCAAAAAAUCAAGAAACUGCUGGUCUCAAAAAAAGUUCAUAUUUGCAACAAUUCAAAUUUCACAAAAACAAGGUUUUGUUCUUUCUCCCUGGUUGUCAAUAAUGCUUUGCACUUAAAAAAUUUAUUAGAAUUGUCAAUCUUCCUUUUCCCAUUCCAAAAUUUUUCAUAAUUAGAAGGAGACUUUCUCAGAGAUUGUUGAUUGCUGAUUCUUACUUGUCUAGAAGAAGUUUACCUUUCCACCUAAAACUGUUAGUGAGGACCCUCUAAACAUCAACUACUUUAACUUGACCACUUUUACACUUAACAUUCUGAUGCAGCCAACAAAAUCAUUGCAAGAUGAUAUUUAUUCGAAGAUUGGUGUUCUAAAAAGCUUGGGCGAAGACGGACAAUUGGUGACACACGAUCCUAAAAUGGACUCUCCUUCAAGUUUAAUUAGAGAAGUUACCAACUAGGAUUGAGUAUUAUUAGGAUUUAUUAAGUUUCCUUUUCUUAUUUUGGCAGGAUAUUUCCUUUACAGAGGUUUUCAAUUUUGAUUAUAUUUCUUGUUUUGAGAUUUCCUAUUUCCACUAGGAGUAUAUUUAGAGAGUCUAUUCAUUGUUGAGUUGAAACCCAAAGUUGGCGAGUUGACACGUGAGUUGUACACUUUAGGUAAAGAUCAUGAACGUUGUUUUGAGCAACAAACAACAAGAUUGAUGAACUAGCUAAGAAAAUAAAGAAGUUAUUUAUUGUCCUGAGGAUGCAACAUAUAGAAAGAAAUGCUGAUCAUGUCCUUCCACAAUCUAAAAACAGCAGGGGUGUUCAAGUUUCAAGUAUUAGAAGAAUCCGAACUCAAAGGAAGAUGUUGAAUCACAUGCAUGAAAGCAAUAAAAAAAUAAUAAUGGAUCAAGGAAGGAGGAUGGCUUGAAAGUUGUGUGCUUCUGGUGUGGAGAUUUCAGUCUUGUUGUUUAUCAAUGUCCAGUGAAGGUGCAUUGGGCAAGACAAGCAACAUUCUGUUCAAGGUGGUUGUGAAGAUCAAGGAAGCAUAGUUGAGGAUGUUGAUCUCGUUAUACCAUCCAAGUUGGAUUAUCACAUAAAAUUUACAUCAGGAGUUUUUCCUCAAAACAAGCCCCAAUUUAAUUUCUUACUGCUCAAGGAACAGAACUCAUCAUGGUAAUGAUGAAGCUAUAAAUUCAAUUGUUCCACACUUGAAACUCAGAGAUGAAUUUUCUCUGACCAAGGGAGAAUGAUGCAGCCAACAAAAUCAUACAAGAUGAUUUUGUUCAAAGAUUGUUGAUAUUUUUACUAAACUUGAGUGCAGAUGGACCAUUGCUGAUUCAGAAUCAAAAGAAGAGUUUCUUAAAGGAUUAGGAUUCUCUUUCAAGUUUAAUAAGUGAGGUUAUCUGCUAGGAUUUGAAUAUUACUAGAAUUUUAUUAAAUUUUCUUUUCUUUUUAAGAAGGACAUGAUACUUCCCUUUCAGAGGUUUCCCAUUUUGACUACGUUUCAUGUCUUCAGCUAUCCUAUUUUUCGCUAGGAGUGGAACCUUUAGAAAGACUAUUUAUGUGGUGUACUUCUUCAUUUUCAAUAAAGUCAAUAUUUAUCUGAAUUAUGCAAGCAUUCAGUUUAGGAAUUACGAUUGUUGGAUGCAAUUAUUCUUUAUAGGUGUGAUUCUUAUGACACUCUAGGCAUGCUGCUGAGGAAAUUUUGAGUGUGAAGCCUAAAGAUUUAGACUGUGUGGUGAGACUUGUGGACCUGCAUCAUAUUGCCAACAAUUUUUCCACUGUUCAGUAAAAUUUUCAAAUCCACUACUCCAGUGUUGCUCCACGCAUUCAACUGGUUUAUAAUCGAGUUCCAGACAACAAAAGACAUUCUCAUCUCAAAUUUUGGUAUUCGUUUGUGUGAUCUGCUUAUUGUUUAUAUCCUAAAUCCAACUAAUCAAUAAGUUCAACAACCACAAUGCUUGUAUGUACAGAUUUUCUUUCACCAUUUUUAGCCUUUUUACACAAAAACAAAUUCAUCCGCACAAUUUUUAGAUUAGCAGUUCAGCAAUACACCAGAAUAAGAAACAUAGGAGCACAUAAUCCUCUCAGACUUCUAAUCUAAACAUAUGGGCACUCUACCAUAACCAAAAUAAAACUAGAGAAUAAAAUAAACUAGGAUUUGCAAGCGACUGCUCAGUUCCAAAUUAGAAAGAAACAAGCCCAAGCUCGCUGACAACUUGCACUACGUCAACCGGCAGAGUCAUUAAGCAUACUAGAUAAACCAUGUUCAUACCAUCUCCAUUUUCCUCCUAAAACUUAAAAGAGCUGACCGAGCAUCUCAGCCAAGACAAACGAAAACGGCUUAAUCGUCCCAACGAAAACUUAAUCAUCGCAGCAAAAAGGAGAAGCACGACGAAAUAAGAAGGAGCGAGGGCUUGGGUUUACUUACUUUUAAACCCUGAGAUGAAGUCCGGGUCCACGGAAACAGAGAAACUCGAAGGGGAGGGCCCUCCCAGAAGACGGCCGUGCACGGGCUUGAAAAGGACAAUAGCCCUCUCCUCGUUCUCCGAGGCGGAGGCGGCGGCGGCGGCGGCGGCGGCGGCGGAGGCGGAGGCGGAGGCGGAGGAUGAGGCCGAUUCCGCCGGCAAUUCCUCGAUCACCGGGCCGCUGCUCCGGUUCUGCAGGUAGGGCAUCGCGAUUUCAGGUUCAUCGUCCUCCAUUAUAGGCGGUAGCUCCGCGUCCUAUCACACAACA